UUAAGCGACUAAGCGUACACGGUGGAUGCCCUGGCAGUCAGAGGCGAUGAAGGACGUGCUAAUCUGCGAUAAGCGCCGGUAAGGUGAUAUGAACCGUUAUAACCGGCGAUUUCCGAAUGGGGAAACCCAGUGUGACUCGUCACACUAUCAUUAACUGAAUCCAUAGGUUAAUGAGGCGAACCGGGGGAACUGAAACAUCUAAGUACCCCGAGGAAAAGAAAUCAACCGAGAUUCCCCCAGUAGCGGCGAGCGAACGGGGAGGAGCCCAGAGCCUGAAUCAGCAUGUGUGUUAGUGGAAGCGUCUGGAAAGGCGCGCGAUACAGGGUGACAGCCCCGUACACAAAAGCGCAUGUGCUGUGAGCUCGAUGAGUAGGGCGGGACACGUGGUAUCCUGUCUGAAUAUGGGGGGACCAUCCUCCAAGGCUAAAUACUCCUGACUGACCGAUAGUGAACCAGUACCGUGAGGGAAAGGCGAAAAGAACCCCGGCGAGGGGAGUGAAAAAGAACCUGAAACCGUGUACGUACAAGCAGUGGGAGCCCCACCACUAAGCCAGUGGUGAACUCCACAUACGCAUCCUUUGCUGAGGAUACGGUUAACGGAGCGAAAGCGACGUUCAACCUCAAAAGAAGCAGAGGGGGCUUAGUGGUGGGGUGACUGCGUACCUUUUGUAUAAUGGGUCAGCGACUUAUAUUCUGUAGCAAGGUUAACCGAAUAGGGGAGCCGCAGGGAAACCGAGUCUUAAUUGGGCGUUAAGUUGCAGGGUAUAGACCCGAAACCCGGUGAUCUAGCCAUGGGCAGGUUGAAGGUUGGGUAACACUAACUGGAGGACCGAACCGACUAAUGUUGAAAAAUUAGCGGAUGACCUGUGGCUGGGGGUGAAAGGCCAAUCAAACCGGGAGAUAGCUGGUUCUCCCCGAAAGCUAUUUAGGUAGCGCCUCGUGAAUUCAUCUCCGGGGGUAGAGCACUGUUUCGGCUAGGGGGCCAUCCCGGCUUACCAACCCGAUGCAAACUGCGAAUACCGGAGAAUGUUAUCACGGGAGACACACGGCGGGUGCUAACGUCCGUCGUGAAGAGGGAAACAACCCAGACCGCCAGCUAAGGUCCCAAAGUCAUGGUUAAGUGGGAAACGAUGUGGGAAGGCCCAGACAGCCAGGAUGUUGGCUUAGAAGCAGCCAUCAUUUAAAGAAAGCGUAAUAGCUCACUGGUCGAGUCGGCCUGCGCGGAAGAUGUAACGGGGCUAAACCAUGCACCGAAGCUGCGGCAGCGAACGUAUCACUUAAAGCGAUUCAGCGGGUUACGAUUGACGGAGCGAAGCGACAUCAAAGCGUAUACAAAGUCGAGUCGGUUUAAGGAUACGUUCGUUGGGUAGGGGAGCGUUCUGUAAGCCUGUGAAGGUGGCCUGUGAGGGUUGCUGGAGGUAUCAGAAGUGCGAAUGCUGACAUAAGUAACGAUAAAGCGGGUGAAAAGCCCGCUCGCCGGAAGACCAAGGGUUCCUGUCCAACGUUAAUCGGGGCAGGGUGAGUCGACCCCUAAGGCGAGGCCGAAAGGCGUAGUCGAUGGGAAACGGGUUAAUAUUCCCGUACUUGGUGUUACUGCGAAGGGGGGACGGAGAAGGCUAUGUUGGCCGGGCGACGGUUGUCCCGGUUUAAGCGUGUAGGUGUGUGUUCCAGGUAAAUCCGGUUCACUUUAACACUGAGGCGUGACGACGAGGCACUACGGUGCUGAAGCAACAAAUGCCCUGCUUCCAGGAAAAGCCUCUAAGCAUCAGGUAACAUCAAAUCGUACCCCAAACCGACACAGGUGGUCAGGUAGAGAAUACCAAGGCGCUUGAGAGAACUCGGGUGAAGGAACUAGGCAAAAUGGUGCCGUAACUUCGGGAGAAGGCACGCUGACACGUAGGUGAAGUGAUUUACUCACGGAGCUGAAGUCAGUCGAAGAUACCAGCUGGCUGCAACUGUUUAUUAAAAACACAGCACUGUGCAAACACGAAAGUGGACGUAUACGGUGUGACGCCUGCCCGGUGCCGGAAGGUUAAUUGAUGGGGUCAGCGCAAGCGAAGCUCCUGAUCGAAGCCCCGGUAAACGGCGGCCGUAACUAUAACGGUCCUAAGGUAGCGAAAUUCCUUGUCGGGUAAGUUCCGACCUGCACGAAUGGCGUAAUGAUGGCCAGGCUGUCUCCACCCGAGACUCAGUGAAAUUGAACUCGCUGUGAAGAUGCAGUGUACCCGCGGCAAGACGGAAAGACCCCGUGAACCUUUACUAUAGCUUGACACUGAACAUUGAGCCUUGAUGUGUAGGAUAGGUGGGAGGCUUUGAAGUGUGGACGCCAGUCUGCAUGGAGCCGACCUUGAAAUACCACCCUUUAAUGUUUGAUGUUCUAACGUGGACCCGUUACCCGGGUUGCGGACAGUGUCUGGUGGGUAGUUUGACUGGGGCGGUCUCCUCCUAAAGAGUAACGGAGGAGCACGAAGGUUGGCUAAUCCUGGUCGGACAUCAGGAGGUUAGUGCAAUGGCAUAAGCCAGCUUGACUGCGAGCGUGACGGCGCGAGCAGGUGCGAAAGCAGGUCAUAGUGAUCCGGUGGUUCUGAAUGGAAGGGCCAUCGCUCAACGGAUAAAAGGUACUCCGGGGAUAACAGGCUGAUACCGCCCAAGAGUUCAUAUCGACGGCGGUGUUUGGCACCUCGAUGUCGGCUCAUCACAUCCUGGGGCUGAAGUAGGUCCCAAGGGUAUGGCUGUUCGCCAUUUAAAGUGGUACGCGAGCUGGGUUUAGAACGUCGUGAGACAGUUCGGUCCCUAUCUGCCGUGGGCGCUGGAGAACUGAGGGGGGCUGCUCCUAGUACGAGAGGACCGGAGUGGACGCAUCACUGGUGUUCGGGUUGUCAUGCCAAUGGCACUGCCCGGUAGCUAAAUGCGGAAGAGAUAAGUGCUGAAAGCAUCUAAGCACGAAACUUGCCCCGAGAUGAGUUCUCCCUGAGACUUAGAGUCUCCUGAAGGAACGUUGAAGACGACGACGUUGAUAGGCCGGGUGUGUAAGCGCAGCGAUGCGUUGAGCUAACCGGUACUAAUGAACCGUGAGGCUUAACCUU
rnacentral:rRNA from 1 species